AACGAACGCUGGCGGCAUGCCUAACACAUGCAAGUCGAACGAGACCUUCGGGUCUAGUGGCGCACGGGUGCGUAACGCGUGGGAACCUGCCCUUAGGUUCGGAAUAACUCCCCGAAAGGGGUGCUAAUACCGGAUAAUGUCUUCGGACCAAAGAUUUAUCGCCUUUGGAUGGGCCCGCGUUGGAUUAGCUAGUUGGUAGGGUAAAAGCCUACCAAGGCGACGAUCCAUAGCUGGUCUGAGAGGAUGAUCAGCCACACUGGGACUGAGACACGGCCCAGACUCUUACGGGAGGCAGCAGUGGGGAAUAUUGGACAAUGGGCGAAAGCCUGAUCCAGCAAUGCCGCGUGAGUGAUGAAGGCCUUAGGGUUGUAAAGCUCUUUUACCCGGGAUGAUAAUGACAGUACCGGGAGAAUAAGCUCCGGCGAACUCCGU
rnacentral:rRNA from 1 species